GUCCUUAGUUUGAAUGAGUUUUGAUUAUUUGUGUUUAAUUUGCAGUGUCGACGUCAAUUAGGCAGCUAUGAGUGUGGGUAUUACGUAAUGAAGCACAUGCACACCAUUAUUUGUACAAACAUUACUGAUUCAUGGGAUAAGAUCUUUGAUGAUUCAUCUCCAAUGGAAGUUCCACACAUUGAAGACAUUAGAACUAAGUGGGCUUCUUUUAUUUUAAGUGUUAGUAAAUUGUAGAAACUUGACUACAAUGUAGUGUAGGUUGAUGUUAUUUGGAUUUAAUAUGAUUUACAAAUUAUGUAUUAGAUAUUAUUGAACAA